AAGCAAGUAUUGUUGUAUUGAAAAAGCUGUCUGAUGACUGGAAGGAACACACCAUCACACAUUCCAGUUCUGAUCUUUUAAGUGAAGCUCUCAAAAGCUUCAUCCAAAAGAAUGAAGAGGGUUUGUCUAAGGUGGAGGACGGUGCUCGCCUUGCAUUAUUGAAGGAUGCCGACAAGCACUGCAAAGUUAUUCUGCGGCGAUUGUCACAAGGUCAUGGAUGCAUGAAGAGCAUGGCAUUUGUUUCUGUUGUACUUGCUGUUGGUGCUGUUUUCUUGUCGCAGAACAUGCAUUUCUUGGAUUAUAAGAAAUUGUCAGAGAUGUUGAACCUGUCCUAGGUUGGCAUGGACGAGGACCAUUUAAUUUACAACCGUCCAAAACAUAGUGAAAUCAAACAAAAAUGGAGUACACAAAACUUGGAUGCUUGCGCUGGCCAAUUAGUUGGGGGUCAUGUAUGUUCCCUAGAUUUAGGUCAAUUUGAGAAAUAACUUUCUCCACAGUUAAAAAGGAUUUGUUAUUUAUUGAUCUAAGAUAAGUGUGUGCCCAAAUGGCUAUAGAGGAAAUUUAUAUGAAGUUGAAACAAAUUGUGCUUGGAAGCAAAUUUUGAAGUGUUUCAAUUCACAUUUGUUCUCAUUCUGGUUUAUUCUUGUAUUUCUUUGUUAUGCACAUUCUUGGGACUGGCAUCGAUAAAUAUUUUAUUUUGAGAUUA